CCUGAUUUUCUAUCUUUUCACAUAAAUGUGAGAGCCAGUGUUUCUUCUGAAAAAAUAAUAAUCAAAAAAUGCUUUUGAGCUAUUUUGUUAUUUUAAAUCCAGAAGUGGUAAUGGAAGAAUUUAGUUAUCAAUUUUACUGUUUUCCUCACAGUUAGUAAAGGAAAACUGUGACUUCCUUGCUUCACCUAUCAUUAUGGAAAUUGGCUGUUUUUGCCUGGUAGAGAAAUUAGGAGCUCCAGGAGUUGCUGCAGCUGUGGGACCUACAGAGCCAGGGCCCAGAGCCACCAAGGGCAAGCUCUGCAAAGCCAGCCUUCCCAUGAGGCCCCAGCUACUCAGAAUCCCUUGAGCCCUUGGGGCACUUUGCUAGCCCCUACCCAGGGAAUGGCCAGGCAUGUGGAGCUAUUGAUGCAGAUGCAGCUGCUAAAGGUGUUCACGUGGGAACAGCUGUGUGCCACCCAGAGGAGCCAGCCCAGGAGUUAGAGAAAUGACGACAGUAGGAACAAGACCUGCAGUGCAACCAAAUGCAAGCAGAAGUGGAGUGACGGCACCAUCAGCCACUUCAAGAAGGUGUCCUUUGAAGAGAGUGGAGCCUUACAGGAAACUUCACUGAGGAACAAUGACCAGGAAAGGGCUACUUCCUGAAGAAUAAGAUCA
ensembl:lncRNA